rnacentral:lncRNA from 1 species
GCUGUCGACUGAAUCCAGGGCCCGGCUCCCCCAGGAAAGCAGCCUAGCGAGCUACGCCGUGGGUGCGGCCUCGCCGCCCCGCCCUCCCCGCCUGCACAGCCGCGCUGCACAGCCGCGCAGGCAUCAGCUGGCCUGCACUCGCCAGCCUCCCACGCACCGGGAUCCCUGUGCCACUAGUCCGUCCCUUUUUGACACGCGAUCGAUUUCUGCUCAUUGAAACGCAAGCUAGAAGGCAACACCCGCAGAUGGACCUCCGCACUCACUGUCCCCUUCCCCAAACCCUCCCGAAUCCGCAGGAGCCGCGGGAAGUCGUUACGGACAGCGAGGUUCGCACGCGGCUUCCCCGUCUCCAGUCACCCGAAGCCGCCUGCUCCUCGGCUGGGGCUCUGGGCGGAGGACGUGAGGCAGGGAGACCCAUCCUCCUGGGUGCCCUGCAGGAAGGAGCCUCGCCACUCCUACAGGACUUUCUGGCCGGGCACAGUCAUCCUCUCUCGCCCAUGACUCUCACUCCCGUCGGACCCUUCUGCUCCCUCUCAAGGAGGAGCAUCGGAAAGCAGGUCCUGGAGAUAGGCCUGUGUGGAUGUCCUCACUAUCCCAAGAUCAGACCCAGAGUGAACAGCUGUCCUGCCUCUUCUUCCGCUUUGUGUGCAGCUCCCCAGCAGGCGGGAGAGAUUCCAAUCCUCCCUACCUGGUAAGCCAUACUAGAAUACCGCAGUGCAAUACUAGGAAAAGGGCAUAUACGUCCUCUCCGUGCCGACCCCACGUGUCACAGGCCUGUCCGCUGGCUCUGUUCAGAGUGAGUUUGCCCUUUGCCAGGGAAAGAACGUGAUGAUGAUGAUGAUGCUGGCGAUGAUGGGGGUGGUGGUGACUCCUCCUCUACAGAAAUGGACCGAAAACAUAACAAGACCUCUUCCCCUAACCCAAAUGCAGAAUGGAGUUCCCAACAUAUAGGACAUCUUUUACAAUUCUAGCCCAACACUAUCCAACAGAGCUACUGAAAAUUUUCUAAUACACGUGUGAAGAAUUAACAAGUGAGGCGCGAUGGUGCACACCGGUAAUCCCUGCACUCUUGGAGGCUGAGGCAGCAGGACUGUGAUUCAUACUCAAUCCGGGCAUUUUAGUGACCCAACAAGAACCCGUCUCAACCUAAAAACUACAAAGGGCUCUGCCAGGGAUUUAGCUCAGUGACAUCGCACUUGCCUUGCGAGCACAAGGUUCUGAGUUUAUCCCUGGUACAAAUAAAUAAAUAAAUAUUUUAAAAUUUAAAUUAAAUUAAAUUAAAUAAGGGCUCCAUGUGAAAGCCCUGGGUUCAAUCCCCAG